rnacentral:rRNA from 1 species
UACAGAGGAGCCAAGCGUUGUCCGGAUUGACUGGGCGUAAAGCGCACGCAGGCGGACGCGCGCGUGGGGUGUGAAAUCUGGCCGCUUAACGGCCAGGCGCCAUCCCAUACGGCGGGUCUGGAGCUAUGCAGAGGUCGGUGGAAUUGCCGGUGUAGUGGUGAAAUGCGUAGAGAUCCGGAAGAACACCGGUGGCGAAGGCGGCCUGCUGGGCAGUGGCUGACGCUGAGGCGCGACAGCGUGGGGAGCAAACAGG